ensembl:lncRNA
CGGGAAGGUAGCUCACAAAAAGGUAGACCACGGGAAGGUAGCCCACGGGAAGGUAGCCCACGGGAAGGUAGCCCACGGGAAGGUAGCUCACAAAAAGGUAGCCCACGGGAAGGUAGCCCACGGGAAGGUAGCUCACAAAAAGGUAGACCACGGGAAGGUAGACCACGGGAAGGUAGCCCACGGGAAGGUAGCCCACGGGAAGGUAGCUCACAAAAAGGUAGACCACGGGAAGGUAGCUUAAGCCCAUAGAAAUGCAUUGGCUUAUUUUGGACAGAUUUUUGUGAGAGUGAACCCUCUCGCUU